CCCAUAAUAAAAUAAAAUCUCUCCCCUUUCCCAAACAAAUUAAAACGUGAAAAUCAGGCAAAUCUUCAACAGAAAUUAAUACUGAAGCAAAACUAAAUAGACAUAGGAAAAACUACAUUACCACAUCAUCACAUGAUCGGUGCUCACAAGUUACAACCCUUCUCACAGAUAAUGACCCCUAAAGCUAAAGAUCCGAAAACCGGCAGAAAGUCGACACAACUAACAAAAGAGCAUAACAAGCAUAACGUACGCUUGUGUGUACAUAUACUUCAUUACGAAUCCAAAUUAACAGGCGUAGCCACACUGACAACAUUACGUACAUAAGCCAGAUAAGGAUCCAAGAGUCUCAUAUUUCACACGUCGUAAGGAGGAGGAGGACUCCUGGGUCUAACCUCGCUUGCCUUCUCGUAUGCAUCCGAUGUCGAACUUCUUCGAAACCGAAAGGACUCUCUGCCUCCUGUGUUUUAAACCAAAAAGUAGCUCAUCAGCACAUAUGAUAGAUAGCCUCAAGCAAAUCAACUAUAGUGAACACAAAAACAUGAAGCCAUGAAUGGAUUUACCAUUACACAGCAGAUUAUCAAAAGGUAAACGAAUACAAUAAAAACAAAUAUAAAAGAAACAACUACUUGUGCCAACACAGCUUCCUUGUCUAUUAUCUAUUGACCUCUUCUUUCCUUUUAAUCAUACGAUGACAGGAGUCAAGCAACUGAAACAAGGUAAGUAUAAAUGCAACAAAUUUGUGACGCAAUAGGCAAACAAAAAACAAAUUAGAAGUUUCGUGAAGUCGAGAUUAUUGUACCCUAAAAAAGCAAAAUAGCAUCAUCAAUUGCCAUCUCAUCUAUAGAACAGUUAGAUUUGUAUCAAACAACAGAAGAUAGGGAUAAACAAAUGGGGUAAACUAAUUGACUCUCCAAAGUAAUUUGAUCAACCAAAUUUUAUAUUGUGAUGGAGGUUUUAUUAGGGGAAAAUUCUUGUAAGCAGCUGGGUGUAUGUACACCCAAUCAAUACUUAAUAAAUUAAUAAACCAUAUUUUUAAGUAGAUUCUAUCAUGAUUUUAUAUAACAUGAAACAUAUAUAAAUUUAUUGGAUGUAUAUACUGAGUGUAGAGUGUAAGACAGACUUACUUUUAUUAGGUGCUAUGGAGGACAUGCUCCAUAUCUCACACAAUAAGAUGUAACUCACAUCCCUAUAUGAUGUAACUCACAUCCCAAUAUGAGAGAUAAGAGACAAUUGAAAACUUGUGAGCAGACAUUGGAUGAUUUUCCAUUGUGAUAUAGGCUCAACAGGUUAUCCCUCUUGUAAAAAAAUUAAUAAUAGUAAUAACAAUAAUGAGAUGCAUACUUGGGUUAAUUAACAACUCAAGUAACCAUACUUGGGUUACGUAUGGUUAUCCCGAGCUGGAUAACACCCAUGCAUAAAUGACAAAUGCACGUCGACAACGACCUAAAAUGUCACUAUCCAAAUUCCGUAGCGGCGAAAGCAAUAAUUCACCUAAAAAAAAUAAAUUAUCAUUAUCCAAUAGCGGACCAACACCCCUAAAUGACAAAAUUAACCUCACCCUAAGUCACUGACUUAGUGACUUGCAUACUCUAGGAUUGGACCUUUCUAGAUGAGGCCUAGCCCCAGUUUCUUACGAGAGGUCAUUUUAGACAUUUGGUAAAAAGACUAGGGACUUGAUUGUCAUCCGAGGAGAUCAAGGGCAAACCAUACCAGAGAAGGGAGAUACCGGAGGAGUAGAGCCAGCGGGUGAAACCGGUGGAGAACCGUUCUGGUACCCAGGCGGUUUUACUAUCAUGAUACUGCGUGUAACUCUAGUCACCUCCUCGGAUCCAUCGUCAGCAUACGAUCUCGCGUUGCGACUGUCGGAUUCUGAUCCACAACGAAAGGACAUGUUAGAAUCUAGACCGACGACAGACAGAAACAAAUCUCACGCCGUUUAAUCUAGAGGAUCCAUUUGAUAAUUCUCAAAAUUAAGCGUACUUCUGCAUAUGAUCUUGGCUAAAGCGUUAACAUCAAGGAUAAAAAAUUGGAGAAUUAAGAUUUGAUAAACACUGGAUAAUUGCAAUUACUGUUAUGGGAAGUGAACUCCUCAAAUGAAAAUAUGAAGUGCUAGGACGCUGAGCUCUCCGAUUAAGGUGAAUUCAAGUUCUGCGAUUCUAAUAAACAGUUCUAUACACUUUUGUUUAGCAAAUUUAACGCUCCAUGUCUCAUCCGCCAUGGGCCUAAAUUAGCAAAAAUGCUUGCAUACCCUUGCUGGAGGUUGACCGGAAAUUGAAGGUGGAAUGCUUCCGCAGCUUGCCAAGGCCGUUCUCCGGUCUAGGCCCCGCCACGGUGUCGUCCCACAGCUGGUCAAGAAGGCCCAUGGCACACGUUAGAAAUCUGCGACUACUUAAGCAGAAAACCAGCGGACACCCUCACUACCGAGCAUGAGAGUAAGUACGGAGACGUGCAGAUAUUUAACGAAGACUGAGGCGUUAAACUCCGAACAAGUCUCUUGUUUGAAUGCGUAUCUGAUCCGUUGAUCGAGAUCGGG
rnacentral:misc_RNA from 1 species